UUUACCCAAUCUCUGACGAGGGGGAGUCCCCAUGCCGCACAACCGAAACAGAUCGGUUAUUACUAACACAUUUUGUGACGUUUUUUAUUUUUUACAUCGGCAAGGGCUUUUUUUUAACGUCUGUUCGGUCGAAAUACGUCCAUUCAACUUGGACGCCACAGCUUAUACGAGUUAACUAGCUAGCAUCGUUUAUGAAACUAUAUUUAACUCACUAGCAAUGUCGGCCAGUGCCAUUUCUUACCGAAUCUGUCCCAGUCCACAUCGGAGAUACUGUCCAUAACAAGGGAGAAGUCGCACAGCACAACUGGUGGUAACUUGUACAAGUAGACCUUUCCGAUAUCCCAGGACGACAUCUUUUAAAAACCUUGCUAGCAAGCUAGCUGUAACAUUUUUGUUCUGAUGUUUCAAAUUCACUACGAAACUUCGCCAUCUCCAGCAAGCAGAACUUAACUCGUCAGCCACGCCCCCUACCCCACAUGAUGGGCUACGUCACAUCCUCUGCCUUCAUGGAAAAGUAUCAGUUACUGGAAUUUUAUUUAUUUUAUAUAUAUAUUUUAUUUUUUAUGCGCAUUUAGUAUUUUCUUGUAUAUACCGGUGUUUGUUUUUUUUUGUUAGACAUGUUUGAUGUAGCCAUGUAAAAGUUGUUAAUUUUGUAUUACAUUUUUUUUUUUUUAUGUCAAGUUUCAACGUUUUGGCUGUGUUAUUUUGUAAACUGUUUUGUAAGAUAUGUUUGUAUAUUGUGUUAUAUUUUUUCAUUAACAGGAAAACAUAAAAUAAAAGUGAACAACGU